GACGAACGCUAGCGGCGUGCUUAACACAUGCAAGUCGAACGGUAAGGCCCUUCGGGGUACACGAGUGGCGAACGGGUGAGUAACACGUGGGUGAUCUGCCCUGCACUUCGGGAUAAGCCUGGGAGACUGGGUCUAAUACCGGAUAGGACUCCGGACUGCAUGGUCUGGGGUGGAAAGCUUUUGCGGUGUGGAUGGGCCCGCGGCCUAUCUGCUUGUUGGUGGGGUGAUGGCCUACCAAGGCGACGACGGGUAGCCGGCCUGAGAGGGUGACCGGGCACACUGGGGCUGAGAUACGGCCCAGACUCCUACGGGAGGCAGCAGUGGGGAAUAUUGCACAAUGGGCGCAAGCCUGAUGCAGCGACGCCGCGUGAGGGAUGACGGCCUUCGGGUUGUAAACCUCUUUCAGCACCGACGAAGCGCAAGUGACGGUAGGUGCAGAAGAAGGACCGGCCAACUACGUGCCAGCCGCCGCCGUAA
rnacentral:rRNA from 1 species